GACGAACGCUGGCGGCGUGCUUAACACAUGCAAGUCGAACGGAAAGGCCCUGCCUUUGUGGGGUGCUCGAGUGGCGAACGGGUGAGUAACACGUGAGUAACCUGCCCCUGACUCUGGGAUAACCUCAGGAAACUGGGGCUAAUACCGGAUAGGAGCUCCUGCUGCAUGGUGGGGGUUGGAAAGUUUUGGCGGUUGGGGAUGGACUCGCGGCUUAUCAGCUUGUUGGUGGGGUAGUGGCUUACCAAGGCGUUGACGGGUAGCCGGCCUGAGAGGGUGACCGGCCACACUGGGACUGAGAUACGGCCCAGACUCCUACGGGAGGCAGCAGUGGGGAAUAUUGCACAAUGGGCGGAAGCCUGAUGCAGCAACGCCGCGUGCGGGAUGACGGCCUUCGGGUUGUAAACCGCUUUCGCCUGGGACGAAGCGUGAGUGACGGUAAUGGGUGAAGAAGCACCGGCUAACUACGUG
rnacentral:rRNA from 1 species